GGGCGCGUAGCUCAGCUGGGAGAGCAUCUGCCUUACAAGCAGGAGGUCACAGGUUCGAGCCCUGUCGCGCCCA
rnacentral:tRNA from 1 species